CAAUAGCGUAUACUAAUGGUGUUGCAGUUAAAAAGCUCGUAGUUGAACUUCUGGUAGGAGUGUCCCGGCCUUUUUGUUUUUACAAAUUGUAUGCUGUGUGACAUCUCUGGCCAUCCUUCUUCUUUGUUUAAAGAAGAUCUUUCACUGUAAAAAAAUUAGGGUGUUCAAAGCAAAAGUUUCUUUGGAAUAUAUUAGUAUGGGAUGAUAAGAUAGGCUCUAGAUGCUAUUUUGUUGGUUUGCACAUUUAGAGAAUGAUUAACAGGGACAGUUGGGGGUAUUCGUAUUUACAUGUCAGAGGUGAAAUUCUUGGAUUUUGGAAAGACGAACUACUGCGAAAGCAUUUACCAAGGAUGUUUUCAUUAA
rnacentral:rRNA from 1 species